AGGGACGAAGGUUCACCGGUUAAUAGCCGUGUGGAUUGACGGUACCUCCACAAGAAGGUCCGGCUAACUACGUGCCAGCAGCCGCGGUAAUACGUAGGGACCAAGCGUUGUCCGGAAUCAUUGGGCGUAAAGAGCGCGUAGGUGGCCACAUAAGUCCGUUGUGAAAGUCAAAGGCUCAACCUUUGAAAGCCGAUGGAUACUGUGUGGCUAGAGUACGGAAGAGGCGAGUGGAAUUCCUGGUGUAGCGGAGGAAUGCGCAGAUAUCAGGAGGAACACCAAUAGCGAAGGCAGCUCGCUGGGACGUUACUGACACUGAGGCGCGAAAGCGUGGGGAGCGAACAGGAUUAGAUACCCUGGUAGUCCACGCCGUAAACGAUGGAUACUAGGUGUGGGAGGUGUCGACUCCUCCCGUGCCGUCGCUAACGCACUAAGUAUCCCGCCUGGGGAGUACGGCCGCAAGGCUAAAACUCAAAGGAAUUGACGGGGGCCCGCACAAGCAGCGGAGCAUGUGGUUUAAUUCGACGCAACGCGAAGAACCUUACCUGGGCUUGACAUGUUGGUGACCGCCGUGGAAACACGGUUUUCCUUCGGGRCACCAUCACAGGUGGUGCAUGGCUUCGUCAGC
rnacentral:rRNA from 1 species